GACGAACGCUGGCGGCGUGCCUAAUACAUGCAAGUAGAACGCUGAAGCUUGGUGCUUGCACCGAGCGGAUGAGUUGCGAACGGGCGAGUAACGCGUAGGUAACCUGCCUGGUAGCGGGGGAUAACUAUUGGAAACGAUAGCUAAUACCGCAUAAGAGUAGAUGUUGCAUGACAUUUGCUUAAAAGGUGCAAUUGCAUCACUACCAGAUGGACCUGCGUUGUAUUAGCUAGUUGGUGAGGUAACGGCUCACCAAGGCAACGAUACAUAGCCGACCUGAGAGGGUGAUCGGCCACACUGGGACUGAGACACGGCCCAGACUCCUACGGGAGGCAGCAGUAGGGAAUCUUCGGCAAUGGACGGAAGUCUGACCGAGCAACGCCGCGUGAGUGAAGAAGGUUUUCGGAUCGUAAAGCUCUGUUGUAAGAGAAGAACGAGUGUGAGAGUGGAAAGUUCACACUGUGACGGUAUCUUACCAGAAAGGGACGGCUAACUACGUG
rnacentral:rRNA from 1 species